rnacentral:rRNA from 1 species
UACGGAGGGUGCUAGCGUUGUUCGGAAUCACUGGGCGUAAAGGGUGCGUAGGCGGGUCUUUAAGUCAGGGGUGAAAUCCUGGAGCUCAACUCCAGAACUGCCUUUGAUACUGAAGAUCUUGAGUUCGGGAGAGGUGAGUGGAACUGCGAGUGUAGAGGUGAAAUUCGUAGAUAUUCGGAAGAACACCAGUGGCGAAGGCGACUCGCUGGACAAGUAUUGACGCUGAGGUGCGAAAGCGUGGGGAGCAAACAGG